UUUGCCCUCUCGGAUACCCCGCGAAGGCGAUCCAAAAAUUGAGGUUUUCGACACAACCACACGGUAGGUCGGACACCCGUAGUACCUUGAGAUACCUGGGUUAAAACC
rnacentral:sRNA from 1 species